GGCUGGUACUACUCCCCAAGUAUUGAGAGGGUACCUGACUUGUUAUGUAAACAGCUGUCACCAGGAAGUAGUAAAUGAAGUUAAAUAUCAGAGGAAAAAGAACUCAAAGAUCCACUGAGAGAAAUAUUCAACUGGACCAAGUGAUAAAAAUGUUACUUUUGUUAACCAAAAUACAGUCUGAGAGCAGGAUGCUGACUAGCAGGUUGACAAAGAAACAAUAUUUUUCAAGAAAAAAAUGUACACAAAUUCACCCUUCUGGAAAUGGAAACAUUUGAAAAUGAAUUUUAAUUUACUUUUUCAACAAAUUUUAGGCACCAUACAGUCUAACCUUCUCUUUUCUAUCUGCUACUACAAUGCACACACACAAACACACGUAUGGAUGGAUGGAUGCAUGCAGGUACAUUACAGGGAGAUUCUGACCGUGACAAAUUGGAUUUAUAAAUACAUAUUCAUACAGACAGUGUGUCUGUGUACCUAAUCUCUCAAAUCCAAAAUCUCCCCACAACCGUUUCAACAUCCUCCAGAAUUUCAAAUGGCUGAACAAUGAACAGUAAAGUAUCUUGGGAAUCCUUAACCUCCCUGGCCAUGUGGAUGUGAACAGAAUCCUUCCUUAUGUCCAUCUUGGAGGUGAGAGGCAUCAACUCUCAUGUGCCACUGAGAGAGAGGGCAAAAAUAUUAAAAACCAUUGCUGGAAGGACACCUUGUGAGUUUGUAAGUUUUUCAGCACACUUAUCAUCUAAGAAACUAAACUAAUGAACUCAGUCCCAGAAUGCAUAGAGUUGUCCCACAUGCGAAUAGAUUUCUACCUCUAUCAAGAGUUCCCUGUGCUUUCCAGAGGGAAUGAGCACCAGCACUUGCCAUUCGAAUCUGUCAUCAAGAUGCUCUCAGGCUCUUAUCUCAGACAAUGUUGACUCCACUACCAAGUUAUAAAGUAUAAAAGGAAGUGGGUCUUAGAGAUGGUACAGAGGAAAACAUUCAUACGACAUUCCUUGUUGUAGUGAACGUAACUGGGUUUUGCAGUUUUCCCACUUCAAAAAAUCACCUGACAGUCCGUAUGCUGCGUUCAGUUCCACUCAUCAUAAAGGGAAGCACAGGAUUACCUGGGUGACAGCUUCCAAAGCCCAUGAACCAUGAAUAAGGCUGGGGACAUACGGAGACAGCAGCCUCUGUGGUGUGUUACAUUGGAUCUGGGCUGAGAGUUGCUGUCUGCUCUAGUAUCUUUAUCUCCUUUCACCUUGGAAAUUGCUGUUUGGCUCUGGCUAAUAGUUGGUUGACUUCAGGAUCACAGUAGGGACUAACUUGGAAAGUGCCCUUAAACUUAUUUUUAUCAGGAUGCCUCUUAUGGUUAAAUAUAUUUGCUUCCUGUUUGUGAGUUGGAGAAUUGCCAAGCAGAAUGUACACCUC
rnacentral:lncRNA from 1 species